rnacentral:rRNA from 1 species
UACGUAGGGUGCAAGCGUUGUCCGGAUUUAUUGGGCGUAAAGCGUAUGUAGGUGGCUAUUUAAGUCGGGUGUCAAAUCCAAAGGCUUAACUUUUGAACGCACUCGAUACUGAAUAGCUGGAGUACAGGAGAGGAAAGUGGAACGCAUAGUGUAGCGGUGAAAUGCGUAGAUAUUAUGCGGAACACCAGUGGCGAAGGCGGCUUUCUGGACUGUAACUGACACUGAGAUACGAAAGCGUGGGGAGC